rnacentral:rRNA from 1 species
AUUGAACGCUGGCGGCAGGCCUAACACAUGCAAGUCGAGCGAGCGGCGGACGGGGGAGUAAUGUAUGGGGACUGCCCGAUAGAGGGGGAUAACUACUGGAAACGGUAGCUAAUACCGCAUACUAUCGGAUAACCCAUAUGGGAUUAGCUAGUAGGUGAGGUAAUGGCUCACCUAGGCGACGAUCCCUAGCUGGUCUCAGAGGAUAAUCAGCCCCCCUGGGACUGAGACACGGCCCAGACCCCCCCUUAAUCAUCAUUAUAAAAUAUUACACAAUGUACGAAAGCCUGAUACAGCCAUGCCGCGUGUAUGAAGAAUUCACUAGGGUUUUAACGUACUUUCAGUCGGGAGGCGUUACCGACAGAAGAAGCACCGGCUAACUCCGUGCCAGCAGCCGCGGUAAUAC